UAAAUUUUAUACUCAUAUUCCCCCUAUCGAUAUGUAAAAUCAUCCAAUAUCACUUCCUCCUUUUGGCAUAAGCAAAAAUAACGACAUAUAAAGUAGAUAAAGAAGGCAAUCAAAGUAAGUACAAUAGAAGGUAACAUUCAAAAUACAUAGGAAAGAUAUUUAACCAAGUGAAAAGUUUAAGUAAAGCGAUAACAAAAGUCAGAUAGGCCUAAGGAGGAGGAAAGUGGACAAAGAACUGCACAUAGAACUCAUUUUGCCAAGCCUGCAUCUCUACCUGCUGUGCUAAAAUGGCAUCUUGCUGAGCUUGAAUUCGAGCUUGUUGAUCUUGAAUUUGAUGAAGCAUUCCACCAAGGCCAUCAAUAGUAGUCAUAAGAGAAUCAAUCCAACCAUUUAGAAGAUUAUAGUGGUCCUUAGUAAAUGUGAAACGACAACCCAAAUGACGUGAAGUACUUGAGUCGGGAAUGUUAGAUGGAGCACGAGGAAUGUGUGAAGUAUCUUCCGCCUCCUCUUCAUCCCCUUUUCUUCUUCAAAUGCUAAAGUAGAGGGUCCCGAAGUGGGGUCAAACCCUUUUGUUUGAGCCACCCAUUGACCGUGUGAUUUAGUAAUUUUCAUGCAUUUGAGUGUUUGUAUGUUGAUAGUGUCGGUGGGACGGAGUUUAACAAAGGCCUCAUCAUGCAAUGGAACGUCAAAGUGUUUAAAAAUUUUCGUAAGCAACAUGCCAUAGGCAAUGCCUUUGCAUAACGAGAGGAAUGAAUAAGCUUCAUGAGAUUGACGGUAAUGGUCGGGAAAUCUAAUUUUCGACCAACAAGGAAUGAAUCUAGUAUGAAAAGAUCAAAGUAGUUCACUUCAUCCCGAUGGCCCUUCCUAGGAAGAAUGACAUGCGCAAUAAUAUUUUGUAAAACUUUGCAGGGAAGAGUGAGUUGAUUUGCACUAAUUUUCGUAAUAUUUUCAAAAUCAUUUCCAGUUACACGACGACAAGCGUCAGCCGGGGAGUAACCUUCAAAUGUCAGAUGAGCUUUAUGAACAAAAAUUUCCGUAUCACAUUUAUCAAGUUCAAGGAUAUCACGAAUUAAGUUUUUUGUAAUUGUGACACGUACAUUGUUAAUCAAACAAGAAAUUUCAUCCGACCGAGUGAUAACCAUUUUGUGAUAAAAUUCCUUCAUGAGCCGGGGAUAGGCAAGUUCUUCUAAGGUGCAAAUAGAUAUCCAACCCAAUUUUCAAAAAAUUCUUCUAUGUGAAAUGCAGGUUCUUCGAUAGCGAAAUUCGAAAAAUCUACAUUCUUACCAAUUAGAGUGGGUGACUUUUCAAAUGGGUUUACCGGCAUUUCGGGCUUGAAAUCCAUUUCUUCGUCGGAAGAUGGUUGUGGAGGCCUGCUUGUCAUUGCUUUUGUUUUUUUUUCCCAUUUGUUUUGAGCCUGCCAUUUUGAGAUUUGUAUAAAUUUGAAAGAAAUGGGGCUAGGGUUUCGAAUUUAAAAAAAUGAAGGAAAUUAGAGAAGUGGAAAAUGAUAUAGAGGAAGGGGAACAAACAAUUUGGUGUUUAAUUGAAGAAGUUAGAUGAGAAAAUGGUGAAAGUCGAGUGAGGUAAGAGAGAGAAAUCGAGUGGAAGGAAAAUGAAAUGGAAGAAAAAAAACUCUUUGUUCGCGAUUUAAAAAUCUAAUUAGCAGUGUAUCGAAUGUCCGAUGCACCUAUUGGACAUCCGAUAGGACAGAAGUUCAAAAACUUCUGCCAAACUGGACACUUGUGCCGGACAGUCCGCUUGGACUUGUCUGGUACAAAAUACUCUACUGGAUAGUUCGUUGGACUCGCUUGGUAACAACUUUUUUUUUAUCUGUUUAUAUCAUACUCAUCAAUAAUAUAUAAACCUCUUCUAAUAUAAGAAAAUCGAUCAUCCGUGAGGGUCUUCAGUUUUGACAAAUUUUAAUGCGAUAUCUCCCUUUUGUAGAUGAUCAUGAAGAAAAUGGUGACGAAUUUCAAUGUGCUUAGUUUGUGAAUGCAAGACGGAAUUUUUAGACAAAUUAAUAGCGCUAGUGUUAUCACAUAAAAUAGGCACAUGAUCAUAAAGUUAGUGAUAAUUACAAAAAGUCUGUUUCAUCCAAAGUGUUUGUGCACAACAACUUGCGGCCAAAAUGUAUCCCGCUUCGUCGGUGGAUAGUGCAACGAAAUUUUGUUUCUUACUAGACGAAGACACAAGUGCAAAGUCUAGGAAGUGACAAUUUCUGCUAGUGCUUUUACGAUCAAUAUUAUAUCUGGCCCAAUUGGCAUUCGAAAAACUAAUUAAAUCAACAUGUGUGCUUUUCGGAUACCAAAGUCCUAAGGUUCUAGUUCCACUUAUAUAUCUAAAAAUUCUUUUUACAACCCUAAGUGAGAAUUCUUAGGAUUAGAUUAAAAUCUAGCACAUAAGCAUACGCUACACAUAAUAUCGGGUCUGCUAGCAGUUAAAUAAAGAAGAGAUCCGAUCAUACCUCAAUAUUUUGUGACAUCCACGGAUGUGACUUGCUCAUCUUUAUCAAGCUUUAGGGAUGAACUCAUUGGUAUGUUCAUAGAUUUAAUGUCAUGCAUAUCAAAUUUCUUAAGCAUGUCUAAUAUGUAUUUAUUUUGAUUUAUGAAAAUUCCUUCUUUUGUUUGUUUAAUUUGAAGACUAAGAAAGAAUUUUAAUUCACCCAUCAUGCUCAUUUCAAAUUCUUUACUCAUGCAAUUUGAAAAUUCUUCACAAAGAUGAACAUUUGUAGCACCAAAAAUGAUAUCGUAAACGUUUUUAGCAAGGAGUUACUGGAUUCUUAUCGCAAUAAUUAAACGAAAUGAGGUAAUCCCACGUUUUAUUUGAUUAAACCAGUUGCUUUCAACAAGAUUAUUAGAAUCUUCAAUUACAUCAAUCUAAACAAGUUUUUCAAAUGCUUCAAUAUUUAAAUUCAAGAAUACAUAGACUGGAAACAAUAUUCAGUUAUUUGCUAUUGGUUUCGACAAGAGAGCAGCUGCCAUGAAUAAUGUUAAUCAAAGUGGAAUCUCAAGUCCAAGCAGUACUGAGGUUGACGUUGAACUUUAUUCUUUUGAAUUUUCGUAAGUUCUCAAAUUGUGCUGCUAGCAAUUUAAUGUUAAAUUUCAGGGAAAAAAUAUGGCAAUGGUGGCUCCUUGGUUUCUUGGACUUGGAUCCCUUGUCUCAUGGAAUAGUUUUUUUGGGUUUUUUGAUACCCAAUAAUCCGGACGAUGAUUUAAAACAGUUGUCAAAUUAUUUAUCGACACCAUGGACUUGGCUCGACUCGAAGAUGAACUACACUUUUGGAUGGUUUGGGUUUGGGUUGGAUGAUUAUUUGGUUAGUUGGACCAUUUAGUGAUUAAUAUGGAGUUGAAUAUUGGCCCAUUAGUUUAGAUUAAUUGGUAGCCCGCUUAGUGAACCCUAGGCCCAAUUAGAGUGACCUAAACUAACCUAUAUAUAUGUAUUUAUCUCCUCCCAGCCAUUUUUUGUGGUGUGUGUGUGUUGUAGCAAUGGAGAGGAGAGUUGAGAGAAGAGAGACAACCGAGAGAGAGGAAAGCCAUGUGAGGUUGUGAGUAAGAUUCAACCAAUUUUCUUCUUCCUCUCCAUACCUUUGUGGAUUACUAACACCACCACCCUUUUCCUUUGUGGGGUUUGAGAGAGUUUGGACAGUCCAAAGUGAAGGCGAAACUCUUGGGUCGAGCCAAGGUAAAUUGAUGUUCGUUUGGUUGUUUUAUGAGCCCAAAAUCAAGAUUUAUAUAGGGAUUUCCACUACAAAUGGUAUCAGAGCUUGUGUUGUUGAUAAAUCUGUGAUUUUUGGGGCUAAAAACGGGCUGAAAGUGGUUAGAAACAGAUCUUGAAAUCAGAGGCAGAAACUGUUCAGUUUUUUUAAUUUUUUGCCGAAUCUGUUUUGGCAUUUUCUGGUGAAACCAAAAGGAGUUUGGCAAAACGGACACCAUCUGUGGACUGUGCAGGCAGAGAGGAAGCCAAAAGGGUGAAAGAUAACCGGCGCGUGGCCGGCCGGUGCGACGCGUGGGGAAGAUGGCGUGGCGCGUAAGGGCGCGUUCGUCUGAUUCCGACAAAGUGGUCUUCAGACAGAAUCUUUCCCAUGAUGAGAUGGACCCUGUAAUGUUUUCAGAUUUCAGUUUAGAGCAAUACAGUGAAAGUUGGACGAUUUUGCCCUUG
rnacentral:lncRNA from 1 species